AUUACAAAACAUGCAGUAGAAGAGUAAUAAUGCAAACAAAUGUUUUGUUAAUAAAAAGUCUUAAAUACAAACACUUUUCUCUCUUUGCUGUGGAAGUUCAGUAUAAGAGGAAAUGUCAGGCAUCUUAGGGGGGCACUGCAGUAUUGAUCUGGAGAAGGAGGAGGCCAUCGAGUAAAAAAGGUUGAGAAACACUACACUAGUGUCAUCACAUCGACACAACGUCAAAGUGACUGACAGAUAGGGAACUCAGUUAUGUAACAGACACGCCAUCUAGUGAUGAAGCAUGGAAGUGCAAUUAAAGUGACGGACUUUCCUGCAGUUUGAUUACAUUGUAGUGGAAAGUUUUGCAGGGCCAAGCACCACUAACAUUUAUAUAAUAUAAAGAUUAUGUUACAUGCUUAGUACAUCCAAAUAAAUAAAUAAUGUUUCUGAAAGGUUUGAUAAAACAUUGUGUUGUUUGUGAUCCUCCAUCAGCAGCUGCAGUAUCUCUCAGCUGUAUCAGUGCAUCACUGUGACGUCUGACUGACCGAGGUUUUUGUACCACUCUUUAUCACUGUGUGAACACAGCUUUACUGUUGAUCCAGUGGUAACUCAGACAGUAAUAAUCUCCUGUAUCUUCAGUCUGGACUCCACUGAUGGUCAGAGUGAAAUCAGUUCCAUAAUCGGCUCCAUUUCCACUGAAUCUAGAUGGAGUUUCAGCCACAAGGGUCCUGAUGGAGUACACUAAAAGUUUAGGUGCUUCUCCAGGUUUCUGAAGGUACCAGGAGACACACGACUUACAGUCACCGUCUGACGGGCGUCCAAUGGAGCUGCUGGUCUUACAGGUCAGAGUGACUGUGUGUCCGUUCUGAACAUGUUUCUCUGUGGGAGUCUGAAUUACAGUCACCUGUCCUGUAGAA